ACUCAAGUAGGUGUUUUAGGUAAGCAAACAAAUGUUAUUAGCCUGACCUGAAGACUAGCGUAAACAUUCUUUUUAAAUGUAAGCGUGCAAGUUUUAAAUUGUUAAGUAUUACAGAAGUCAAAAUAAAAGGGAGGGUGUCUAGAGUGAUUAGGAAACACCAGUGAGAAAAGACGGCCUCAAGCUUUGUUUUGAAGCGUAUGAAAGACACAAGAAGAAGAGGGAUGGCAGGGUGAAUCAAAUCAGCAGAAAGAAUAAGACCAAUGGCAUAGUAACUGGGGUGUGAGCUAUUCUUAAGCAGAAGACAAAACUUACCUUCAGAAACUAGGGCAUGAUGCUGAACAGAGUAGGUGUUCAAGUUUUUACUGAAGACAAAAAUUAACUUCCCCUGGUGAAGUGGAAUGCAGAACAUAAUAACUUGCCUCAGGUCAUACAAGGAGUCAUUGGUGGUGCCUGAUACGGUGACUACACAUGGAUUCUCCCAGGGAAGUCCCUAUUUAUACCUAUUUUCCUAUUCAGUUCUACUUAGCAUUUUCUAGAACAAAAGUAUCCAAAUUUGGAUGGUAAAUUAUAAGAUCACCCACUGUCUAACCCUGAUCUUUUCUCUAAGUUUGAAACUUAUUAAUUGGUUUUCUUUUUUUGUUUGGAAAAUGUCUUUCCUGGAGUUUAAAAAGCAGUCUUUAGGCUGACUUGUUCCCUGUGAAUAAGAAAGUACAGAGAGCUAACGCAUAUUGUGAGAAGUUCUCUCAACUUAAUCCAGGGAUACUUGCCCUGCAAUUUAGAAACUCAGUAUUUCAUGAGUAGAAAAUACCCUAGAAUAUUUAAAUUAAAUAAUUAUGAAAUUAAAACACACUCCCCCCCCACACACUUGCCAAUCUUCCCUGCUGAUGUUUAAAUGAAUGCUCUUUUAUUAUCCAUCAGGUGAGGGGAAUGGAACUGGCCCUCAGUCAUAACAUUCUUAAAGCUCAGCGAGAUGGUCAGUCAGUAUGUGAACCUGUAUGUGUCAUUUCUGAGGGAUUCACAUAGAAGAAACAUGAAAUUACCUGAUAGAUCUGGCAAGAAAUGCUGUGAACUUGUCACUGUUUUCUGUUUCUAGGGGAAAAGUUUCUGCACUUUGAGUUUGUGCUGAGGCUCCUGAUUUCCAUGCAUGGGCCAAUAGAAGAUAAACAUUUAUUCAUUCAUACAUGCAAGGGAGACCGUGUGACUGCUCUCCUAGGAAUAACAGUCCUAAGGCUUCUGCUAAUUGAACCGCUGGCACAUUACUGAG